rnacentral:tRNA from 1 species
GCUUAUAUAGCUCAAUUGGUAGAGCAAAAGAUUGAAAAUCUUUAUUACGUAAGUUCGAUUCUUACUAUAAGCA